rnacentral:rRNA from 1 species
UACGUAGGGUGCGAGCGUUAAUCGGAAUUACUGGGCGUAAAGCGUGCGCAGGCGGUUCGUUAAGUCAGAUGUGAAAGCCCCGGGCUCAACCUGGGAACUGCAUUUGAAACUGGCGGGCUUGAGUAUGGCAGAGGGGGGUGGAAUUCCGCGUGUAGCAGUGAAAUGCGUAGAGAUGCGGAGGAACACCGAUGGCGAAGGCAGCCCCCUGGGCCAACACUGACGCUCAGGCACGAAAGCGUGGGGAGCAAACAGG